GGACCCGUAGCUUAACUGGAUAGAGCAUGUGGCUACGGACCACAAGGUUGGGGGUUCGAAUCCCUCCGGGUUCA
rnacentral:tRNA from 2 species